AUGAUUAUGAAUCUUCUAAAAGAUGGAGCAGUGGAAGAUGCUAACAAUGUGUUUUCAUCAAUGGACAAGAGUGGUAUAGUCCCCAGCUCCCGUCUCAUGAAUGACAUCAUCAGAUUGUUGUUGGAAAAAGGUGAGAUCGUCAAGGCCAGAUAUUAUUUGUCUAAAGUUGAUGGGAAGAGCAUAUCACUUGAAGCUUCAACUACUUCAUUGAUGUUUUCUCUCUUCUCAAGGAAAGGGAAAUAUAUGAAGGACAUGAAAUUGCUCCCUGCAAAGUACCAAUUUUUCGAUGGAUUUUGUUGA
rnacentral:rRNA from 1 species